GAUGAACGCUGGCGGCGUGCCUAAUACAUGCAAGUCGAGCGAAUGGAUUAAGAGCUUGCUCUUAUGAAGUUAGCGGCGGACGGGUGAGUAACACGUGGGUAACCUGCCCAUAAGACUGGGAUAACUCCGGGAAACCGGGGCUAAUACCGGAUAACAUUUUGAACCGCAUGGUUCGAAAUUGAAAGGCGGCUUCGGCUGUCACUUAUGGAUGGACCCGCGUCGCAUUAGCUAGUUGGUGAGGUAACGGCUCACCAAGGCAACGAUGCGUAGCCGGCCUGAGAGGGUGAUCGGCCACACUGGGACUGAGACACGGCCCAGACUCCUACGGGAGGCAGCAGUAGGGAAUCUUCCGCAAUGGACGAAAGUCUGACGGAGCAACGCCGCGUGAGUGAUGAAGGCUUUCGGGUCGUAAAACUCUGUUGUUAGGGAAGAACAAGUGCCAGUUGAAUAAGCCGGCACCUUGACGGUACCUAACCAGAAAGCCACGGCUAACUACGUGCCAGCAGCCGCGGUAA
rnacentral:rRNA from 1 species